rnacentral:ncRNA from 1 species
AUGGCCUCUCGCCCUAUUCAGUGUAACAGCUGUGAUAGUGGGUUUGGUCGCUCUCAUUUGAAUAGCAAGGGUAAUGGUGGACCGCACUUCUCCCUUAGUAGGACGUUGUGACCUGUCAAUAAAUAUUCUAAGUAUUUGGCUAUUAUGUCUGUUCUAAGUUAUACCGUUAAGGUAUUUUCUUUAAAACAGUUUUAGCCGUUUUAUAUACUGGAUAAAAUUGACAGUAACGAAUUAUGGUGUUGAGCCACAUGAAAUUAUAUAUAUGUAAAAAUAUAUAUAAUGGAAAGUGUCCUAAAAUAUGGCUGUUUGCAAGUGGGUUGGUAAAAAAUAGUUUCAAUUCGGAUUUUUAACCGGUUAACUAUUCCGCCUACUGUUGGUAAACUGUUCCUAGGACUGUGCUUAUUAUCACCGGUCGGCAGCGAUUCAGGUUCAGGCUCUUAUCCGACCCGUCUUGAAACACGGACCAAGGAGUUUAGCGUGUACGCAAGUCAUUGGGCCUAUAAACCCAUAGGCAAAAUGAAAGUAAAGAGUUGGAGUUUUGUAAAUUUUUACAUUCUCUACUUUAGGGAAGAUGGAAAAUAUUGUGCAGCAAUGUAUAAGAUUUUCCCGCAUUCCCAGGGCGCUUGAUUCUUGCUUUGCAAGUCAAUGCGCACCUAUAGCGUACACGCUGAUACCCGAAAGAUGGUGAACUAUGCCUGGCCAGGACGAAGCCAGGGGAAACCCUGGUGGAGGUCCGCAGCGAUUCUGACGUGCAAAUCGAUCGUCGGAGAAGGGUAUAGGGGCGAAAAGACCAAUCGAACCAUCUAGUAGCUGGUUCCCUCUGAAGUUUCCCUCAGGAUAGCUUGCACUCGGUUGAGACGAGUCUCAUCCGGUAGAGCGAAUGAUUAGAGGCAUUGGGGUCGAAAACGACCUCAACCUAUUCUCAAACUCCAAAAUAGAUGAGAUCCCCGGCUUUCUUAAAAGUGAAGCCGUGGGAAUAGGAUCAGAGUGCCAAGUGGGCCAAUUUUGGUAAGCAGAACUGGCGCUGUGGGAUGAACCAAACGCAGAGUUAAGGCGCCUAAAUUGACGCUCAUGUGAAACCAUGAAAGGCGUUGGUUGCUUAAGACAGCAGGACGGUGGCCAUGGAAGUUGGAAUCCGCUAAGGAGUGUGUAACAACUCACCUGCCGAAGCAACUAGCCCUGAAAAUGGAUGGCGCUGUAGCGUCGUGCCUAUACUCUGCCGUCAAUGACAAAGAUGAUUAAUAAGCUGUGUGUUAAUUAAUGUUGUAGUCUUGACUGCAGUAUUGUUAAUUACAAAGUUUAUUACUAUAUCAUCAUUAUGUCUUGAUGAGUAAGAGGGCCGCGGCGAUGAGCGCAGAAGG